rnacentral:misc_RNA from 1 species
AACGCACCUUGCGCCCUUUGGCUAUUCUGAAGGGCAUGCCUGUUUGAGUAUCAUGAACACCUCAACUCUCAUGGUCUGCCAUGAUGAGCUUGGACUUUGGGGGUCUUGCCGGCCUAGCGUCGGCUCCUCUCAAAUGCAUCAGCUUGCCAGUGUUUGGCGGCAUCACAGGUGUGAUAACUAUCUACGCUUGUGGUUUUCCGCCAUGUAACCUUCAGUGAUGGAGGUUCGCUGGAGCUCACAGAAGUCUCUCCUCGGCGAGGACAGCUUUUUGAACGUUUGAUCUCAAAUCAGGUAGGACUACCCGCUGAACUUAA